UCGUCUGCCAGAAUCUAUGUGACUGGACUCGCACAUUGUCCGGUGUAAUGUAUGACCGGAGCCACUGACUUGUAGAUGUUCCUUUUUUUCUGGACCGGAAGUAACAAGGAAUAAUAUUGUAGUUCAGGCAGACGAUUGAUCAAAGACAGGCGAUAAGCUGAACAUUUUUCAUUGAGUCAUCGCAGGAAGUCAAGUUUUGAAUGAACAGUUUGUACAGGGGAAGAUACUCUUGUCUAUAGUUGUUUGUUUUUUAUAGCCACACAUGAAAAUGUCCCAAAGCAUUUAGUCAGCUCAAAGACUCAUGCAUCAAUAACACGUCUACUAAAAACAUUUGAGCAACUAAAAUAGUCAAAGCAAAAGUGAUGGAAUUGAAUAUAGUUUUACUUCCUGACUGGCGAGUCGAUACAACAAACAAAAUCCGUUCCACUGGU